AUGCAGGCAGCAAUAACAGCAGUACAUGAAUUUCUGAAUGCUGUGAAUGCCUCUGAACUUCACCAACAGGUAGAAGCUAGGCUGUCAUACCUGUACCUCAGCUGUCAACUGAGAAGCCUUUACUGGCACUUGCGCAGUGUGCCACUCCCAGGGAGAUUUGGGAGUUUGCUAGGCAUGUUCUGCAGUCCCUGGCACUGCUCCUACAUUCACAGAGCGUUUUACAUCUCCAGCAUAUCACCUCUACAGCUCAUCUUCAGGAGAAACAUCUGGCUUGUAACAACAGGCAAAGAGAGAUCCUUCCCUGACACCCGGAUGCAGGCAGGGCUGAGGAUGCACCGCUGGCUGUGGCCACACCUGAGGACAUUAUGCAGGGGCACUGGCAGCAGCAGCGCCUUCAGGAGACUUCUGGCAGGGCUCUGA
rnacentral:lncRNA from 1 species